rnacentral:misc_RNA from 1 species
AACGCACAUUGCGCCCCUUGGUAUUCCGAGGGGCAUGCCUGUUCGAGCGUCAUUAACAACCCUCAAGCACUGCUUGGUAUUGGGCUCCGCUGGUUUUCAGUGGGCCUUAAAAUCAGUGGCGGCGCCGUCUGAGCUCUGAGCGUAGUAAAUAUCCUCGCUAUAGAGACCAGGUGGUCCCUUGCCAUCAACCCCCAACUUUCUAAGUUUGACCUCGGAUCAGGUAGGGAUACCCGCUGAACUUAA